CGGAAGUAGCUCAGUGGUAGAGCAAUAGCCUUCCAAGCUAUUGGUCGCGAGUUCGACUCUCGUCUUCCG
rnacentral:tRNA from 1 species